rnacentral:lncRNA from 1 species
AUCUUUACAACUCAAGUUCCCAAGUAUUGCGAAGUCCCAACUGAAAAACAAAGUGCGGGAGAUAGCAGAGUUUAUUGAUGGUAGAUGGCAGGUGAUUUUCUCAAGUCUGGGUUACUGUCUCAAAAUUUAUUCACAUAAAAGAGACCCCUGCAAUCAGAAGGGUAUAACGUAUAAGAAUUGGCAAAAAAUUUCCACUUUGUGAUAUAAUCCAUAAAGGAUGACAUCCAAUAUCGUGUACCAAGGAUGACUGCAGAAGCAGUACAACCCAUGAAAGUUUAUCAUAAAGCUAAUAAAGCAUUCCAGUUUAUCACCCAAGUUAAAAAGUGUGGACAGGAAAUGCAUGGGACAAACCCUUUGACUCUUCCUAUCUUUUCUGGGAAAUUAUAUAUACAUCCUGUUCUAGUUUUCUUUGUGCCAUACCUCUUUCUACGUUAGUCUUACGCGAUUUAUUAGUCUGAAUUUUCCAAGCAACAGAUUCAUGUUACUUUCUUUUGACAUAGUUGAUUUCCUUGCAAUAUGAAAACUAGUUUUCCUUGAUGAUUUUCAUUCGUAGUUAGCUGAAGAAUACUGCAGUUUACCGAUACUGCAUUUUUCUUACUUUUGCAGGUUAGAAAGGAUGUUCUUGUGAAACUUGGGCUGCCUAUAACAACACCUGGUAUGAACCUCUCAUGUACUAUUGCACUAUUUGUUCGCAUGAGAAUUAUGCUCCUGUUUCUUUAGCAUCUCUGUUUAUUACGAUUUUCUUCCUUGUUGUAAAGUUGUAUCUUUCGAUUAUUUACAGAAAAAAGCAGCAGGACAAAGAGCAUUGCGGCAUUUUUUUCCAAGAGAUGUUUACCACCUUCCGGAAAGACCAUCAAUCUGCAUGAGGCUUCCCCACAAGCAAGCCAGAAAACUUCUUCAGCUUCCAUCCAGCCACAGCAAGACUUCACAUACAAAAAUGAAUAAGAAUCUAAACUUUGUUAAAUCUUCUUGCCCCUUAGUUCAAGUUUUUCUUGUUUCUGGUAAUAACCUCUUACGAUAUAAUAGAUGCCUGCUCAUUUAUACCAGGCUUUGUGACUUUUAUAUUCUGGUCAAAUUUUCAAAUUUUCGAAUCAAAUAUCCUUCACAAAGAAAGAUGACUAGAAUGUGUUUGUCUCAAGGAUUACAGAGAAAGAUGCCUGAGCAUCUGGAUCUGUAUAUCCUUUAUGUGUUUUCAUAACUGAAUUUACUGUAUGUAUAUAACAACUUGUAAUUCCAAGUUGCAUGGUUAUGAUUUUCUAUUUUUGUCCAUCCUGUUUGUUUGAUUUGGAUUUCUAUUUAUCUGUUUUAUGUUUUACUGCUUUUGAGGAUCUGAAUAGCAUUUGGACAUACUAUAGUUUGCUUAUUUGAUAACAUUUUAUAAGAAUUGGAGAAAAUUUAAUAGUUUUUGAGUUGAUUUCUUUGCCUAAAGGUGGGCAUUAUCUUUUCAGUUAUAAAUCAUAUCUCAUUAAUAUCUUGAUUAUUUAUUUCUAAUUGAAGGAAAUUUUGAGUUGAUCUCAUUUCCUAUAAAUUGAUGAUAUUCUCUUUAAUUGUGAGUCAUAUCUCAUUAUAUCUAAUAAUAGAGGUAUUCUUUGUAUUACUGUAUAUAGAAGUGACAUAUAGCACUUUUUUUGAGCAUAUAUAUACCUAAUUGAAGAAAAUAUAUCAUUAAUAUUAUGUAAUAGUGGAGCUACUCUUUGUGCAGUGGUGAAAUAAGACCCUUUUUUUCAGGGUAUUUACGUAUUUAUAACUAAUUGAAGAAACUUUAAGUUAAAUGUAUUACCUAUAAAUUAUGAAAUUUUAAUAAUUUGCACUUUAAAUUAUUUUUCCUUUCUAUUUGUCUGAGUAAACCUUAGACUCAAAAGAAAAGUAAAUACUAGCAAUAUACUAGAUAAAUAAAGCAACAGACAGUAUUACACAGUAGAACUAUUAAAUAUUACUGCUAACAAGGGUUGCAAGAAAACUCCUACAUAAAAUGCAACAACAUUAUAGUAUUAUAUAUUAACCUUCUAUCAUAAUCAUUGAUCUUCAUGUCUUUCCAUCUAAGAUUACGUCUUCAAUAAAUAGAAACUUCAUGUCUUUCCAUCUAAGAUUAUGUAUGUCAUAUCCUGUCCAAAAGUAUACUCAAAAUUUUUUUUUCACUUAAAUUUGAAUUUGGCAACCAAAACCAGAUCCAAAAAAGUGUAGCAAUGUAGCUAUUGUGAUUAUCUAAAUCAAUGCUGAAUUUAUGAUUAUUUAUAUUUAUAAGAAUUAAAGGAUGAGCAAGGCGGCGUUUGUUGUCCCUAUUAUUUUUGUAGUAUUGUUGAGUCCUACACGUAACGCUUACUCUUUUUUCUUAUUUGAAUAUUAUUUCAGGUAAGAUCAAAAUUAAAUGACCAUAAUUUUAGAUAUUCAUUUAAUCUUAGUAGGUAUAGAUAUUUUUCUUCUCAUAUUUAAUGCUCGUU